UAAAAAUUCAAAUUUCAGAUGUUUACAGAGGCACAAAGACUAAGAACCCUAAGACAGAAACAUCUUCAUGUUUUCUCUCUCCACAAUCACCACCACCAUGCUCAGAGUUGUUUUUUCAUAUGGUCAUUCUUCCAAACUGGGUUUUUCUUCUUUGAUUCCACGGCCUUUUUCAGUUGUAUCUCAGCCUCGCUCUCAUCUCCAUCUCCCUUCUCAUCAUUUUGAUAUUGCAUCUCACUGAAAUUAAAUAUCAGAUUGUUAUGCUCCCUUAUACUAUUUCCUAUUUGUUGCGAUUCUAGUUCCAUCUCGAGUUUCUCCAAACCUCUGUACUGGUUCCAGAUAUGCGAAAUUUUCAUAUGGGUUCUGAUUGAACAUGAUCAGUGGAUUUCGCAUGGACAUUAGAAGCAAAGCCAGAGUAAACUGAUACUUUGUUUCAUCCAAACCCGAGUGAAUAUGGAAGGUUCUGCUCCUUCGAAGUGUGUAAGAUUAUAUUUGACUGUCGUGUGGUGGUCAUAUUGUCUCUAGUAUCAUGUGUUCUUUGCAUCCAUGCUUCCGUAAAUGCAACAUUGUCCACAAAUCUUUGUCCAAACAAUCUUAAAGUAACGACAGCUAUGGCGACGAAGCUGUUUUCUCCAGCGUUGUCUUGUCCAUGGAUACUUCAAGAGAUGUAGUACUCCACGAUACUGUGAGACGAAACAAAACGAAACAGAGUAUCCCCUGUCACUGCCAUGGUUGUGGAGCCUCUUAAUGCUGCGAUUCAGAUUCAUCAAUCAUGUAAGCUCAUUUAGAAGAAAGUUUUGAGGUUUUUGAUAUGGUUUUAGUUUAGUAGGCUGUGUUCACACAUUUUUUCAAGAAAUCCUGUCCACAAUACAUCUUGUCCACAAUACCUUGAACAUAUGUUUCCCUUGAUUAAAAGCUUAAUGAAGAUGAAGAGUUGAUUUUUAUGGCUUA